AGAGUUUGAUCCUGGCUCAGAGCGAACGCUGGCGGCAGGCUUAACACAUGCAAGUCGAGCGCCCCGCAAGGGGAGCGGCAGACGGGUGAGUAACGCGUGGGAAUCUACCUUUUGCUACGGAACAACAGUUGGAAACGACUGCUAAUACCGUAUGUGCCCUUCGGGGGAAAGAUUUAUCGGCAAAGGAUGAGCCCGCGUUGGAUUAGCUAGUUGGUGAGGUAAAGGCUCACCAAGGCGACGAUCCAUAGCUGGUCUGAGAGGAUGAUCAGCCACACUGGGACUGAGACACGGCCCAGACUCCUACGGGAGGCAGCAGUGGGGAAUAUUGGACAAUGGGCGCAAGCCUGAUCCAGCCAUGCCGCGUGAGUAAUGAAGGCCCUAGGGUUGUAAAGCCCUUUCACCGGGAAGAUAAUGAUUGUUACUCCAUAAAAAAUUAGGAAUG
rnacentral:rRNA from 1 species